AUUGAACGCUGGCGGCAUGCCUUACACAUGCAAGUCGAACGGCAGCACGGGGCAACCUGGUGGCGAGUGGCGAACGGGUGAGUAAUGCGUCGGAACGUACCUUUCAGUGGGGGAUAACGUAGCGAAAGUUACGCUAAUACCACAUAUUCUGUGAGCAGGAAAGCAGGGGAUCGCAAGACCUUGCGCUGAUUGAGCGGCCGAUGUCAGAUUAGCUAGUUGGUGAGGUAAAGGCUCACCAAGGCGACGAUCUGUAGCGGGUCUGAGAGGAUGUUCCGCCACACUGGAACUGAGACACGGUCCAGACUCCUACGGGAGGCAGCAGUGGGGAAUUUUGGACAAUGGGGGCAACCCUGAUCCAGCCAUGCCGCGUGAGUGAAGAAGGCCUUCGGGUUGUAAAGCUCUUUCGGCCGGGAAGAAAUCGCACGGGCUAAUACCCUGUGUGGAUGACGGUACCGGAAUAAGAAGCACCGGCUAACUACGUGCCAGCCGCCGCCGUAACAC
rnacentral:rRNA from 1 species